ACGCGGUUCUUAGCGCGUCCUUAGCAUAAUAGGUAAUUAAUUUAAAUCAAUUUAAAUCAAUAAUACAGAAAACGUUUGCUCACGUAUGUUAAUUAAGAAGUUUUAAGUUUGUGUCCUUAGCUGCACGUGUCACAUAGAGAGGGGAAGGAGUGUUCGGUGUUGGAAAAGUCUUCCAUCUCUCUCGACGAAAUCAUUCGCAUCGUCUCCCAUCUCUCUCGACGGUUUCCCUCCACCGAGCUCUCGACCGCGGACUCCGUCGAAUCCUCCGGCGAUCUGUCCCAUCUCUCCC
rnacentral:lncRNA from 1 species